CUGGCCCCAGACCACUCCCUUGCACGUGAUCUGACAUGUGCCAGGGAGAGGGUCUGGCAUUUAGAGUCACUUUUCUUGGUUCAGAUGUCAAAAUUUGACAUCUCCAAUCAGAUUCGCAAGAAUGCAAUUAAACUGUCACAUGAUUCCACUUCACAGAGGAGGUUGAUAGUACUUGACCUUUGUCAUUUUUAAAACUAUUCCAGUAGGCAAUGGCUAACUUAAAUUCCUGUAUACAUCAACUAGAAAAUUUUAUUUCAAGUACAGAGAAUCUUUCAAAUCUCACUAAAUCUGUAUAGGAGUAGAGAUAAUAGCCAGCCAGUUUUAGCAUCGUAACCACGCCCAUUUCCGACACGCCCACUUUUGACUGUCUGAAAACCAAGAAAAGUGACUCUGUUUGCCAGACUCUCUCCCGGGAGGAGUCUGGCCUCGAGACUAGUAGUUAACGAAACGGGAUCACGUGCGACAAUGACUCCAACGUUGCCUCUUGAAACCAUCCGUGUUACGGUUCAGAGUGCAAUAGGCAGUGGGCGUUAACCUCCAGCAGCAACUAAAACCAUGCUAAAACUCCUCUUCUCCAGCUUCUAAAGUUAGGCUGAGUACAACCCAGCCUAUAAAUCUCUAGUGUUCAUCAUUUGGAACCACAUUAGUUGUAAAUUUGUCCAAGUUUGAGUUUCAAGACGACCCUACAACACUUUUAUAUGCCUUGAAGACCCAAAUUCCAACAUCAUCAGGCAAAUACAAGAAAGAAAUAACUUCAGAAAGAUUAUGGGAUCCCUAUAUAAGUUAAAAAGUCAUAAAAGAACAAGAAAGUUUUUUUCGUAGUUUUUUUGUUUUUGUAACUUUUCCAUACAAGCUUCAUUUCAGUUUAUAUUUCACAAAAA